rnacentral:rRNA from 1 species
CCGAAAGGUGGUCUAAUACUUCAUAAUAUCCAUCUCGUAUGGAUUAAAGCUUUAUGCGCUUUGGGAGGGGCCUGCGUAACAUUAGCUUGUUGGUGAGGUAAAAAGCUCACCAAGGCUUCGAUGUUUAACUGGUUUGAGAGGAUGACCAGUCACACUGGGACUGAGAUACGGCCCAGACUCCUACGGGAGGCAGCAGUAAGGAAUCUUCCACAAUGGGGGCAACCCUGAUGGAGCAAUACCGCGUGCAGGAUGAAGCGUUUCGGCGUGUAAACUGCUUUUAUCACCGAAGAUUAUGACUGUAGGUGAAGAAUAAGGACCGGCUAACUACGUG